rnacentral:lncRNA from 1 species
GUUGUUUCAGCAUACUUUCUUCACUCGUGUUUAUCUAUUUUGCGUACUUUCUUCACUGGUAUGUAGAACAUUUUGCAUUUCUUGAUUAAAUGGUUAAGAACGUAGAACAUAUCCAGAAGAUAAUUCUGGAUUGAGUCAUUCUUUAUCAUUUCUAUUUCUUUGCUUUGAUGGCAAGACAUACAAAUUGAACAGUGAAAAUGUUUUUCUGCAACGCACGG